rnacentral:rRNA from 1 species
UCGGACUUGGGUAUAGGGGCGAAAGACUAAUUGAACCGUCUAGUAGCUGGUUCCCUCCGAAGUUUCCCUCAGGAUAGCUGGAGCUGUUGAACAGUUUUAUCGGGUAAAGCGAAUGAUUAGAGGCCUUGGAAGAGAAACACCCUCGACCUAUUCUCAAACUUUAAAUAGGUAAGAUUUCGGGGUUGCUUAAGCGAACCCCGAGGAUCAAUGAAAGCUCCAAGUGGGCCAUUUUUAGUGAGCAGAACUGGCGAUGCGGGAUGAACCGAAAGGCGAGCUACGGUGCCAAAUUGCGCGCUAACCCAGACACCACAAAGGGUGUUGAUUGAUACAGACAGCAGGACGGUGGUCAUGGAAGUCGAAAUCUGCUAAGGAGUGUGUAACAACUCACCUGCCGAAUCAAUCAGCCCCGAAAAUGGAUGGCGCUGAAGCGCACGACCUAUGCUCGGCCGUCGCGGCGAUUCUGACGCCGCGACGAGUAGGAGGGUGCGGGGCCUGUUGUGAAGCCUGGAGCAUGAGCCUAGGUGAAGCGUGUCCCGGUGCAGAUCUUGGUGGUAAUAGCAAAUAUUCAAAUGAGAAGCGCUUGGACAGCGGGUCAGUCGGCCCUAAGAGAUGUGGAAAACUUGUAUCAAGGGCGCACUUCGCGCUGCACAUCGAAAGGGGGUCGGGUUAAUAUUCCCGAACCGGGUUGUGGAGGUGGACGGUAACGUAAGCAACUCCGGAGAUGCCGGCGGGGGCCAUGGGAAGGGUUCUCUUUCCUUCAUGCAAGCUCGCCCACCCUGGAAUGGGAUCAACCGGAGAUAGGGUGCAGCGCCCGGCAAAGCACCGCGCGUCCUGUGGUGUCCAACGCGCCCCUGACGACCCUUGAGAAUCUGGAGCUGCGGGUACCUCUCACGCCCGGCAGUACUCGUAACCACAUCAGGUCUCCUAAGUGAGCAGCCUCUGGUCAAAGGAAGAAUGUAGGUAAGGGAAGUAGGCAAUAUGGAUCCGUAACCUUGGGAAAAGGAUUGGCUCUGAGGGCUGGGCAUAGGGGUCUGCGCCUCGAUGUCGUUGGCUGCCAGUGGUCUGCCCGAGCUGCUCUCGUGGUGGGGGCGGAGCCCGCGUGCCAGUGUGCCGAYGGGCGUAGAAUGUCUUAUGUCCCCACCUUUCGCGUGGGGCCGUGGGACUCUCCCUAAGCAUCAAACUGCCGACYCAGAACUGGUGCGGACAAGGGGAAUCCGACUGUUUAAUUAAAACAAAGCAUUGCGRUGGUCCCAACGGAUGUUGACGCAAUGUAAUUUCUGCCCAGUGCUGUGAAUGUCRAAGUGAAGAGAUUCAACCAAGCGCGGGUAAACGGCCGGAGUAAUUAUGACUCUCUUCAGGUAGCCAAAUGCCUCGUCAUGUAUAUAGUGACGCGGAUGAAUGGAUUAACGAGAUUCCCACURUCCCUAUCUACCAUCCUGCGAAACAAAAGCCAAGGGAACUGGCUUGGAAGAAUCGGCGGGGAAAGAAGACCCUGUUGAGCUUGACUCUAGUUCGACUCUGUGAAAUGACUGGAGAGGUGUAGAAUAAGUGCGAGCCUUACGGCGCAAAUGAAAUACCACUACUUUAAACGUUAUUUUGCUUAUUUCGUGAGGUGGAGUCGGGGAUCUGCCCCUGCUUCUCGAUCCAAGGUGCAGGCCCUYGUGGCCUGUCCGAUCCAAGCGAAAGACAUUGUCAGGUGGGGAGUUUGGCUGGGGCGGCACAUCUAUUAGAAGGUAACGCAGGCGUCCUAAGAUGAGCUCAACGAGAACAGAAAUCUCGUGUGGAGCAAAAGGGCAAAAGCUCAUUUGAUUUUGAUUUCCAGUACAAAUACAAACUGUGAGAGCAUGGCCUAUCGAUCCUUUACCAUUUCAGGACUUGAAGCUAGAGGUGUCAAAAAAGUUACCACAGGGAUAACUGGCUUGUGGCAGCCAAGAGUUCGUAGCGACGUUGCUUUUUGAUCCUCGAAUGUCGGCUCUUCCUAUCAUUGUGAAGCAGAAUUCACCAAGUGUUGGAUUGUUCACCCACCAACAGGGAACGUCAACAGGGUUUAGACCGYCGUGAGACAGGUGAGUUUUACCCUACUGAUGCACCACCGUCGCAAUGGUUAUCCAACCCAGUACGAGAGGAACCGUUGGUUCGCACAAUUGGCAAUUGUGCUUGRCUGAAAAGCCAGCGGUACAAAGCUACCGUGCGUGGGAUUAUGACURAACGCCUCUAAGUCAGAAUCUGUGCUUGCAGCGACGGCGUAUGCCUCCUCGGAUGACACAAGGCUGUCGAUAGGGCCAGCCGGUCUGGCCCCGAAAGCAUAAGUUCGGAGUUGUCCCUCCUGCGGCGAAGCACCGACGCCCUGGGGGUCUCUUCAUCGCAAUUUCU